GACGAACGCUGGCGGCGUGCUUAACACAUGCAAGUCGAGCGGUAAGGCCCUUUCGGGGGUACACGAGCGGCGAACGGGUGAGUAACACGUGGGUGACCUGCCCUCAGCUCUGGGAUAAGCCUGGGAAACCGGGUCUAAUACCGGAUAUGACUCCAUGACGCAUGUUGUGGGGUGGAAAGCCUUGUGCGGCUGAGGAUGGGCCCGCGGCCUAUCAGCUUGUUGGUGGGGUGAUGGCCUACCAAGGCGACGACGGGUAGCCGGCCUGAGAGGGCGACCGGCCACACUGGGGACUGAGACACGGCCCAGACUCCUACGGGAGGCAGCAGUGGGGAAUCUUGCGCAAUGGGCGAAAGCCUGACGCAGCGACGCCGCGUGAGGGAUGACGGCCUGUGU
rnacentral:rRNA from 1 species